GCAGGAUUGGCCGAGAGGUUAAGGCAACAAACUCAUAAUUUGUGGUAGACAGGUUCGAUUCCUGUAUCCUGUA
rnacentral:tRNA from 2 species